GAUAUUUUCUUCACUUAAGGGCCCAGUCACCGCCUUAUCCUCAACUCCCCACCCCCGCCUCCUCCUUCCCCGUCUCUGCUCAAAUCACGGCGUUCUCUGUGGCUCCAUGCCAACUUCAUGAGCAAAGAUUAGUGGCUUCGGUUUGAUCGAUCCCCGACCAUCUACCAUGGGUGGAUUCGGCGGCAACUUUGGCUGGUGCUGUGGUGUUCUCUGCGGUUCCAUGCCACAUUUGUGUGGUGGUACUGGUGGCUUCGAAUUCGAUCAAUCCCCGACGUACCCCAUGGGUGGAUUCGGCGGCAACUGCAGGCUGGGGGCCAUGCUCUUCUUCUUCCGCCCGAAUCACGCUCACGGCCCUCAACAGGAUGGUGCGGCCAGCGCCCUACAGGUACGGGCUGUUCCUAUACCAUGAAGGGUGAAAGAAGAUCGACUUUGAGGAGCAAAUCAGGAAGCUACCAUCAUCCGCUGCAACUUCUCAACGAGAGGUGAGUGAUCAGAUCUCUCUUCAGCCUUUCCCAAUUCAUCUAAUCUAACGUUUUGUCGGGUUUUUAUUUUGUCAUAUUCAGUCGCAAGCUGCUCGACAAUUUGCUGUAGAUAUUUGUGGUUUCAUCCUGCAUAUGUCUUUUUCUGCUCAGUAAACAAGUUUACCAUCUCUGAAAUUUAUUAUUUGAAUUGGAUUAACACAUGACUUGUGUCUUAUAUUUGUUUCAGCACAUAUAUCAUUCCUCCCAUGUCGAGCAAUGCAUUGGUUCGAACAAAUCAUCAAAUACUCAGGACUACAACGUACUAUCCUGUUUAUAUAUGCAAGUCAUGAUCAACACUUAGUUAAAAGAAAGGCUUGGAUGACAUUAGAUUGGCAUAUAUGUGAGUAAAACUAUAUUUUUUCCAUUUUCUUCUAUUCUACACAGGGUGGAGGUGCUGGAAUUAUGCAUAUACAUAUCACCAGUGAGGUGGUUACUGCACCAUCCGCUUCUGCAUAGUUAUUUGGUGGUAUCUCAGCCACUGCACACUUGACACGCCCUGCCGCCACGAUCGCUCACCUGAUUCAGAGCAGCAAUUUACUGCAGCUAACACAUGUAAGUAUGCACACAUCCAUGCAAGUUUCCAAUGACUUCCAUCUACGCACUGUUAAUCUGUUAUUCAUCCACGCCAGCACACACACGAUUUCAUUGUCACAUUAUUUAGCAGAUCCCGAUAAUUUCAUUCACAUGAUUAUUUAUUGAGUACAUACAUCCUUUUUUCUUGACUCUUUAAGUUUUGGUGGAGAUCAAAUGGAAUUAACUCCAGCCAUGGAUACAAAGACCAUUUCUGAGAGUUGUAUGUUUAAUUUUUUGUUAGUUGUUACAGGCAAUUUAUUUUCGUGGCUUGGCACUGCUGAUCAUAGUCCAUGUCAGUAACCUUGGAUUGGAGAAAGGUGCUAUUUGGAACAUGUCUCAUCAUUACGAGUUGGAAUUACAUAACAUGAUAAUGUUGUCAAUUUUAUCCUCCUUCAUAGAAUUAGUUCUUUACUAGCUAGCUUGAGUGGUUCACUUUUGCCAUUAAAAAUUCUAAGCUUCAGAGAUUUGCAUAGAGCAACAUUCAGUGGUUCAUAUACAUAUCUGAUAAAUAGUGCUCUGUUGUAGUCCUUGGCCGUGGAGUUGAUUCUUCGAUAUGUAUUGUGUUCUUAGCAGCAAUAUUUGAUUAUAUGUCUCGCACCACAUAAUCUUUUGUGUGAACACUUGCUGGAUUAUAUGGUAC
rnacentral:rRNA from 1 species